GGGGGUGUAGCUCAGUGGUAGAGCGGCUCGCUUUGCAUGUGAGAGGCCCCCGGUUUCGAUCCCCGGCACCUCCA